AAAAUCCUUUGAAUUAGGUACGAAACAUCUGUUCAAGAUAAAGAAUCGAUGCUUCACUCUGUUCAAAAGGUUAGGAAACUGUUCCCCCAGGAAUUUGGAAGCAGAAUGGGGCGAUGGAUAAAUAGAGAAAUGUCAAAACAUUACUUAUUCACCUGACUACAGAUGAAGGUUGGUGAAUAAAAUCAUAUGGAAUGGUGGAAUUGCGUAGAAUACUUCAUAUCCGGAGAGGAGAGCGUUUCAG